CCCAUCCGCAGGCCCGUCGCGACAAGGCAGGCAAACCAAGCAAUUGCUUGGGGCCCCGAGCUGGCCUGGGGCCCCAAGACAACGACUGGUUAAGAAUAAAAUGCAGCGACAAACUGUGUGAGCGCCCCAUUGAUAGUGAAUGCAGUAAAGUGCAAUGACACUGUUAUCGGGAUCCCCCUCAAGGGGGCCCCCCUCGCUGACAGCAGCCAGCCAACCACGCGAUCUCUGCUGCCGGCAAAAUACAAAACUUCCUCGGCAGUCAUGAAGCAGAAUUAUGCUUCAGGAAGCCAAAAAAGAAAGAAGAGAAAGGAAGAGGAGGAUAAGAAAAAACAAGACAGUGUAACACUGGCUAAUUUUUAAAGGGGCAGUCAACCACUACCCUACUGUUAUUAAUUUGAAGUGUAAAUCUAUGAAUCUCAUGGUCAAAACAGCACUGACAUCAUCGUCCAAAAACUUCUACAAAACAACACAAAGCAGGAGGAUGUUGCUGAUCCACGUAUUGAUGGUCAGCAGGAAUUAGCUGUCCUCAACCAACUCCGUGAUUGUAGCAGAGCCUGCUCCUAUCUUGUGGGAUUGGCAUGUGCCUUGGACCUGCGAUACCCCAAG